CUCUUUAAGAGUUUCCUCCAUGGUACAGACACGUCUGGAUGAUCGGUAACUUCUCCACAGCGCGCGCUGCUUUCUUCUAUGUGGAGCAAUCGAUUUCUCCAGUCAUGCUGAGGGUACGAAAUGUCUCAGCCCCAGAGAGAUUGGUUGUUCAUGUCAAGGCCCAGAAGACAUUCUGGCAAAGCCAGAAAGUGUGAUCAAUUACAGAUCCUCAAAAUGAAAACUGACAUACAGUUAAUCACCUCUCACAUCUCUAAUACCAAAAUUAAAUUGCAGACCUUUCCUUUUAUCCCUUUUUUCUUUUACUGUGUUACAAUUUAUUAUAGAUUUCCUUUAUGCUGUAUUUUGAAAUGGAUAUGUACCCUGCCAUGUGGGUCUGGAAUAAAGUUACAAGUAUUAGA